GCUGGUUCCUGUCUAUGACAGGUGAAAAGGGAAUGUGCUAGGGCGUGACGCCCGAAGCGCAGCCGCCCCCGCGACCGUGACCGGAGAGGUCGUCCAACCGCCACUGGCAGAUGCCGGGAAGGCCGGGCGACCGACAGGGAAACCUGAGAUCCGCAAGCCGGGAGACCUGCCAGCGCGG
rnacentral:ncRNA from 1 species